rnacentral:miRNA from 1 species
GAGUGAUGGAGUUAAGGAGUAAUGGAGUUAAGACAAAUGGUUGGAGGGAAGAAAAUGUCCCAAUAGCCUAUUGUCUUAACUCCAUCACUCCUUAACUCCCUAACUC